AUGUCGCCGUCUCACUGCCAUCGGCUGCUGGCGGUGGCCCUGGUCUGCGUACUGCUCCUGUGGCGGCCGGCCGCAGCGGCUGAGUACCCGGUCGGCGACGGCAUCAACGGCUGGGACACCGGCACCAACUACGCCUCAUGGGCGCAGAGCCGCUCCUUCGUCCCCGGCGACGUCCUAGUGUUCGAGUACGUCAAGCGCCAGCACAACGUGUACCAGGUGACGGAGGCCGCUUACCGGACGUGCGACCCCUCCGCCACCGGCUCCGUGCUGGCCACCUACGACACCGGCUUCGACAAGGUUCCUCUCCCCGAGGCCAAGAGCUACUGGUUCAUCUGCGAGAUCUCCGGUCACUGCAUGGGCGGUAUGAAGCUCGCCGUCAACGUCUCUGCGGGCUCUCCCGGAGGCGGUGCACCAGCGCCCGACGCGCCGCCCUCGCCGUCAGCCGGAGCCACGUACCGGAGCAGCUGGGUGGCCUCCGCCGCCGGCUUGGUGGUGCUAGGCGCACUGCACGUCUUGGUCAACUGA
rnacentral:rRNA from 1 species